UCAUAACAAACUGGGCAUAAA
rnacentral:piRNA from 1 species